UACGUAGGGUGCGAGCGUUGUCCGGAAUUAUUGGGCGUAAAGGGCUCGUAGGCGGUUUGUCGCGUCGGGAGUGAAAACCUACAGCUUAACUGUGGGCUUGCUUUCGAUACGGGCAGACUAGAGGUAUGCAGGGGAGAACGGAAUUCCUGGUGUAGCGGUGAAAUGCGCAGAUAUCAGGAGGAACACCGAUGGCGAAGGCAGGUCUCUGGGCCGAUACUGACGCUGAGGAGCGAAAGCGUGGGGAGCGAACAGG
rnacentral:rRNA from 1 species